rnacentral:tRNA from 1 species
GAAAUAGGAAAAUCAAGAAAAAGCUUCUAACUUUUAUCUUUAGCAGUGAAAAUCUGUUAAUAUUUCU